rnacentral:lncRNA from 1 species
AGUCAUGCAAAACACAAGCAGGAUGCCAGCUCAGCUCUGCCAGGCUGACAAAGCAGAAGUUAUGCAAAACAACAACAUUGUGCUUGCUCAAAAGUUGAGGUAGAGGAACAGCCACCUAGAAAGAACACCAGACUUUGAAGACAGACCCCAAAGAACCAAAGCUUUGUGCUGAGCAGUGCUUCAGUUGCCCAGGAGUUCCCAUAACUCUCCAGAAGGCUACUGCAGGAAAAACCAGCAGCAGACACAGACUCCUGCUUCCUGACAUCCUCAUAUAAGUGAGCAGUGGCUGAAAUGAGCUUUUUUUCCUCCCGGUUUGAGAUUAGGAAACCAGCUCACCAUGGACAGAGAGCAAAACCACAGCACAUCACAGGAGAAGAAAGGGCUCCCUGACAGCACAGCUCCAGAGAUCCUCACACAGGCAAGGUGCAGUGACACCACCCUGUGUCUGUGUCAAGGGUUUUGCCGCAUAGUUCCUUCCAUGAGCGAGCACAGGUUCUUUUUUAUUUAUUUUUUUUAUUUUUUU